CGCGUAGGCGGGAUAUUAAGUCUCAUUUAAAAGUGCGGGGCUCAACCCCGUGAUGGGUGAGAAACUAAUAUUCUUGAGUGCCGGAGAGGAAAGCGGAAUUCCCAGUGUAGCGGUGAAAUGCGUAGAUAUUGGGAGGAACACCAGUGGCGAAGGCGGCUUUCUGGACGGUGUCUGACGCUGAGGCGUGAAAGCCAGGGGAGCGAACGGGAUUAGAUACCCCGGUAGUCCUGGCCGUAAACGAUGGGUACUAGGUGUAGGGGGUAUCGACCCCUCCUGUGCCGGAGUUAACGCAAUAAGUACCCCGCCUGGGGAGUACGGCCGCAAGGUUGAA
rnacentral:rRNA from 1 species